UACGGGGGGGGCAAGCGUUGUUCGGAAUUACUGGGCGUAAAGCGUGCGCAGGCGGUUUUGUAAGCCAGAUGUGAAAUCCCCGGGCUUAACCUGGGAAUGGCAUUUGGGACUGCAAGGCUUGAGUGCGGCAGAGGAGACUGGAAUUCCUGGUGUAGCAGUGAAAUGCGUAGAUAUCAGGAGGAACACCGAUGGCGAAGGCAGGUCUCUGGGCUGACACUGACGCUCAUGCACGAAAGCGUGGGGAGCAAACAGG
rnacentral:rRNA from 1 species